rnacentral:rRNA from 1 species
AAAUGCACAGGCUGUGAACUCGAUGAGUAGGGCGGGACACGUGACAUCCUGUCUGAAUAUGGGGGGACCAUCCUCCAAGGCUAAAUACUCCUGACUGACCGAUAGUGAACCAGUACCGUGAGGGAAAGGCGAAAAGAACCCCGGCGAGGGGAGUGAAAUAGAACCUGAAACCGUGUACGUACAAGCAGUGGGAGCACCUUCGUGGUGUGACUGCGUACCUUUUGUAUAAUGGGUCAGCGACUUAUAUUUUGUAGCAAGGUUAACCGAAUAGGGGAGCCGUAGGGAAACCGAGUCUUAACUGGGCGUCUAGUUGCAAGGUAUAGACCCGAAACCCGGUGAUCUAGCCAUGGGCAGGUUGAAGGUUGGGUAACACUAACUGGAGGACCGAACCGACUAAUGUUGAAAAAUUAGCGGAUGACUUGUGGCUGGGGGUGAAAGGCCAAUCAAACCGGGAGAUAGCUGGUUCUCCCCGAAAGCUAUUUAGGUAGCGCCUCGUGAACUCAUCUUCGGGGGUAGAGCACUGUUUCGGCUAGGGGGCCAUCCCGGCUUACCAAACCGAUGCAAACUCCGAAUACCGAAGAAUGUUAUCACGGGAGACACACGGCGGGUGCUAACGUCCGUCGUGAAGAGGGAAACAACCCAGACCGCCAGCUAAGGUCCCAAAGUCAUGGUUAAGUGGGAAACGAUGUGGGAAGGCACAGACAGCCAGGAUGUUGGCUUAGAAGCAGCCAUCAUUUAAAGAAAGCGUAAUAGCUCACUGGUCGAGUCGGCCUGCGCGGAAGAUGUAACGGGGCUAAACCAUGCACCGAAGCUGCGGCAGCGACGCUUAGGCGUUGUUGGGUAGGGGAGCGUUCUGUAAGCCGUUGAAGGUGACCUG